rnacentral:rRNA from 1 species
UACGGGGGGGGUAAGCGUUGUUCGGAAUUACUGGGCGUAAAGGGCUCGUAGGUGGCCAACUAAGUCAGACGUGAAAUCCCUCGGCUUAACCGGGGAACUGCGUCUGAUACUGGAUGGCUUGAGUUUGGGAGAGGGAUGCGGAAUUCCAGGUGUAGCGGUGAAAUGCGUAGAUAUCUGGAGGAACACCGGUGGCGAAGGCGGCAUCCUGGACCAACACUGACACUGAGGAGCGAAGCCAGGG